ACGAACGCUGGCGGCGUGCUUAACCCAUGCAAGUCGAACGGAAAGGCCCUGCUUUUGUGGGGUGCUCGAGUGGCGAACGGGUGAGUAACACGUGAGUAACCUGCCCUUGACUUUGGGAUAACUUCAGGAAACUGGGGCUAAUACCGGAUAGGAGCUCCUGCUGCAUGGUGGGGGUUGGAAAGUUUCGGCGGUUGGGGAUGGACUCGCGGCUUAUCAGCUUGUUGGUGGGGUAGUGGCUUACCAAGGCUUUGACGGGUAGCCGGCCUGAGAGGGUGACCGGCCACAUUGGGACUGAGAUACGGCCCAGACUCCUACGGGAGGCAGCAGUGGGGAAUAUUGCACAAUGGGCGGAAGCCUGAUGCAGCAACGCUGCGUGCGGGAUGACGGCCUUCGGGUUGUAAACCGCUUUCGCCUGUGACGAAGCGUGAGUGACGGUAAUGGGUAAAGAAGCACCGGCUAACUACGUG
rnacentral:rRNA from 1 species